rnacentral:rRNA from 1 species
CAAUAGCGUAUAUUUAAGUUGUUGCAGUUAAAAAGCUCGUAGUUGGAUUUCGGGUGGGACGCAGCGGUCUCGCAUUGCGUUUGUACUGCUGCAGCCCUCCUUCUUGCCGGGGGCGGCCUCUCGGACUUCACUGUCUGGGGGUCAGAAUCGGCGAUGUUACUUUGAGUAAAUUAGAGUGUUCAAAGCAAGCUUACGCUCUGAAUAUAAUAGCAUGGGAUAACACGACAGGACUCUGGCCUAUCGUGUUGGUCUAUAGGACCAGAGUAAUGAUUAAGAGGGACAGUCGGGGGCAUUCGUAUUCCGUUGUCAGAGGUGAAAUUCUUGGAUUUACGGAAGACGAACAUCUGCGAAAGCAUUUACCAAGGAUGUUUUCAUUGA